CCUACGGGUGGCAGCAGUGGGGAAUAUUGGGCAAUGGGCGCAAGCCUGACCCAGCAAUGCCGCGUGAAGGAAGAAGGCUUUCGGGUUGUAAACUUCUUUGACAGGGGAAGAGCAGAAGACGGUACCCUGAAAACAAGCUACGGCUAACUACGUGCCAGCAGCCGCGGUAAUACGGAGGUGGCAAGCGUUGUCCGGAUUUACUGGGUGUAAAGGGUGUGUAGCCGGGAAGGGAAGUCAGAUGUGAAAUCUGGAGGCUCAACCGACAAAUUGCAUUUGAAACUGUUUUUCUUGAGUACUGGAGAGGCAGACGGAAUUCCUUGUGUAGCGGUGAAAUGCGUAGAUAUAAGGAGGAACACCGGUGGCGAAGGCGGUCUACUGGACAGCAACUGACGGUGAGGCGCGAAAGCGUGGGGAGCAAACAGGAUUAGAUACCCGAGUAGUC
rnacentral:rRNA from 1 species